AGGAGGGGUGCAGGAGAUGGAGAAAGGAGAGGUGGGGUGCAGUGUCUGAAGAAGGGGUGCGGGAUCCGGAGAAGAGGUGCAGGGCUCUUGGGGGGUCUGGGGUCGGUGCCCAGCUGGGUGUGGGGGUCCCCGGGCUGGAAAACCUCGCUACCCAGGGAUGCUGAGCGGGGCUGGGCAUGGGGAGGGGGUUUGGGGUUUCCUCCCGGCGCUGGAAGCCCAGCCCAGGAAAUUCUUCCGGGCAGCCUCUCAAGCCCCUCUUUGUGCUCUUGGGAUUUUUAACAUUCCCGGCGGCUGCGGAUGGGGUGCCCGGUGCCGGCCCGGGUGCCCGGUUCCAGAUGGGCUGCCCAGCUUUCCCAGGCUGUGCCGGGACGGAUGGGAUGGGAUCUGGUGUGGAUUUAGGGGAUGCGGCUGCCCAUUCCCACUCAUCCCAUCGGAGCCAAGCGCUGCGCCGCUCACCGGGGUGCCAAGGGGACCCUGUGCCACCCCCGGGGGAUCCUCAGCGUCCUUUACCGGCGUGGAUUUGCCGUGGGAUGAAGGGCUGGCGCUGCUGGUCCCUGCUGGGUGUCGGAGCCUGCUGUGGUGAGCAGCAGGACCCGUCCCGCGCUGCCACAUCCUCCCCUCCAAACCCCACUGGCUCUGCCAGGCCACAGCGCUGGCCUUGCUGCCAAGGCGUCACAGAUUUCCUGCCUUGCUCCAGCUCCUGGGAACGACCUUGGCUGUGUCAGCUGCACCGCCGGGUGCCUGGGACCCCCUGUCCCCGGGGGAGGAACCCGCCAGCCUUGGGGGACAAGAGGAAGCGGCGGUGGCUGCUGACACCCUGCGAGGACCUGGGUCCCCUCCCCGGAAGGAAAGCGCUGCCGCCGCUGGGGACCCUCAGGAGCCGCCGCUGCCAUGCCGGUGACUGUGACACUGCCCGGCCCGGCCCCCUGGGGCUUCCGCAUCUCCGGGGGAAGAGAUUUCGGGAAGCCCAUCACCGUCUCCAAGGUAGGAGCCCCCCACGUGUCCCCCGGCCGGGCAGGCCGGGCUGCUCCGGUGAGCGGAUCCUGUUUGCUGUCCUUGAGG
rnacentral:lncRNA from 1 species